AGAGUUUGAUCCUGGCUCAGAACGAACGCUGGCGGCAGGCCUAACACAUGCAAGUCGAGCGCUUUCCUUCGGGAAGGAGCGGCGGACGGGUUAGUAACGCGUGGGAAUAUACCCUUCACUAUGGAAUAGCCUCGGGAGACUGAGAGUAAUACCAUAUACGCCCUUCGGGGGAAAGAUUUAUCGGUGAAGGAUUAGCCCGCGUUAGAUUAGAUAGUCGGUGGGGUAAUGGCCUACCAAGUCUACGAUCUAUAGCUGGUUUGAGAGGAUGAUCAGCAACACUGGGACUGAGACACGGCCCAGACUCCUACGGGAGGCAGCAGUGGGGAAUCUUAGACUAUGGGCGCAAGCCUGAUCUAGCCAUGCCGCGUGAGUGAUGAAGGCCUUAGGGUCGUAAAGCUCUUUCGCCAGAGAUGAUAAUGACAGUAUCUGGUAAAGAAACCCCGGCUAACUCCGUGCCAGCAGCCGCGGUAAUACGGAGGGGGUUAGCGUUGUUCGGAAUUACUGGGGCGUAAAGCGUACGUAGGCGGAUUAGUCAGUUAGGGGUGAAAAUCCCAGGGCUCAACCCUGGAACUGCCCUUAAUACUGCUAGUCUUGAGUUCGAGAGAGGUGAGUGGAAUUCCGAGUGUAGAGGUGAAAUUCGUAGAUAUUCGGAGGAACACCAGUGGCGAAGGCGGCUCACUGGCUCGAUACUGACGCUGAGGUACGAAAGUGUGGGGAGCAAACAGGAUUAGAUACCCUGGUAGUCCACACCGUAAACGAUGAAUGCCAGUCGUCGGGUAGCAUGCUAUUCGGUGACACACCUAACGGAUUAAGCAUUCCGCCUGGGGAGUACGGUCGCAGAUUAAACUCAAGGAAUUGACGG
rnacentral:rRNA from 1 species